AAAGUCGUAACAAGGUUUCCGUAGGUAAACCUACAGAAGGAUCAUUAUUUUAGUAGCUUGCUACAGCUCAGGGGUUCUAUCAGACUGUAUAGUAAUGCUACUAAUAAGCAGCAUAAACCUCGAACCCAACCCUUGUUUUUUGUGUACCUAUGUUUCCUUAGCAGAUCAUAUCCGCUGGCUAGACAUCUCCAACAUACUUGAACAUUCAAUUAGCGUCUGAGAAACUUAAUUAUUACAACUUUCAACAACGGAUCUCUUGGUUCUA
rnacentral:misc_RNA from 1 species